CAGUAGGGAAUAUUGCACAAUGGAGGAAACUCUGAUGCAGCGACGCCGCGUGAGUGAUGAAGGACUUCGGUUCGUAAAGCUCUGUCGCAUGGGAAUAAGUUCUGAAUGUACCAUGCAAGAAAGGAUCGGCUAACUUCGUGCCAGCAGCCGCGGUAAGACGAGGGAUCCUAGCGUUGUUCGGAAUCAUUGGGCGUAAAGCGGAUGUAGGUGGCUUGGUAAGUCAGGUGUGAAAGCCCAGGGCUCAACCCUGGAAGUGCAUUUGAAACUGCUAAGCUUGAGUGCUAGAGAGGUUACUAGAAUACCUGGUGUAGUGGUGAAAUACGUAGAUAUCAGGUGGAAUACCGGAGGCGAAGGCGGGUAACUGGCUAGACACUGACACUCAAAUCCGAAAGCGUGGGGAUCAAACAGGAUUAGA
rnacentral:rRNA from 1 species